rnacentral:rRNA from 1 species
UACGGAGGGUGCAAGCGUUAUCCGGAUUCACUGGGUUUAAAGGGUGCGUAGGCGGGCAGAUAAGUCAGUGGUGAAAUACCUGAGCUUAACUUGGGAACUGCCAUUGAUACUAUUUGUCUUGAAUGUUGUGGAGGUAAGCGGAAUAUGUCAUGUAGCGGUGAAAUGCUUAGAUAUGACAUAGAACACCCAUUGCGAAGGCAGCUUACUACACGAUCAUUGACGCUGAGGCACGAAAGCGUGGGGAGCAAACAGG